rnacentral:rRNA from 1 species
UUUAAAAUGGUAAAGCCGCGAAUGGCUCGGUAUAACAGCUACGGUUUAUUAGAUUUUAGUUAUCUACUUGGAUAACUGUGGUAAUUCUAGAGCUAAUACAUGCACGCAAGCUCGGACCUUACGGAAAGAGCGCAUUUAUUAGAUCAAAACCAAUCGAAUACUUUUUAAGUGUUUGUUUAUUGGUGACUCUGAAUAACUAAGUUGAUCGCACAGUCAUAGAACUGGCGACGUAUCUUUCAAAUAUCUGCCUUAUCAACUUUCGAUGGUAGGUUAUACGCCUACCAUGGUUAUAACGGGUAACGGAGAAUAAGGGUUCGACUCCGGAGAGGGAGCCUGAGAAAUGGCUACCACAUCCAAGGAAGGCAGCAGGCGCGCAAAUUACCCAAUCCCAGUACGGGGAGGUAGUGACGAAAAAUAACGAGAUAGUCCACUAUGUGGCCUGUCAUCGGAAUGGGUACAAUUUAAAUCUUUUAACGAGGAUCUAUUAGAGGGCAAGUCUGGUGCCAGCAGCCGCGGUAAUUCCAGCUCUAAUAGCGUAUAUUAAAGUUGUUGUGGUUAAAACGCCCGUAGUUGAUUUUUCGACUUUGGAGCAUGGUAUCUCGAAAGAGUUUUCACUGUGUUUUCCAAGUCUCAUCUUCUUGUUUUCUAUGGAUGCUCUUUAUUGAGUGUCUUUAGUGACUUGAACGUUUACUUUGAAAAAAUUAGAGUGCUUAAAGCAAGCUUUCAGCUUGAAUAAAGUGCAUGGGAUAAUGGAAUAGGACUUUAGUCUUAUUUUGUUGGUUUUCGAGAUUAAAGUAAUGAUUAAGAGGAAUAGACGGGGGCAUUCGUAUUGUUGCGUUAGAGGUGAAAUUCUUGGAUCGCAGCAAGACGAACAACUGCGAAAGCAUUUGCCAAGAAUGUUUUCAUUAAUCAAGGACGAAAGUUAG